GAGCCGCUGCUUCACGCUGGAUUCCUUCUGGUGCAUGAAUCUAAUUUUUCUUCAUCAAUCUGUUUCUAUAUAGCCAUUCUUCUGGGGCCUCUUUUCAUCCGACCGCCUGCAUCCCCUCCAGAACUGGGGGGGUGAGCGGCCCCCUGUGUUUUGUGCUGAUCCUCUCAGACAAGCGAGAUUCAGAGUUCAGCUGUAGGUCACCCUAGCAAGCCUUACAGAGCCGUCCACCCACCCAGGAGCGGCCUUCCUGCUCUGUCACCUUGCUGCUCACCAGUGUGGUCCCAGGUGAACAGUCAGCACCUCCUGGGAGCCAGUGAGCGACACAGAGUCUGUAUUCUCACCCUGGACCGGAUGAAGCCGAAUCUGCAUUUUCACAAGAUUCUCAGAACUGUCCACUCCGGUGCAAAAAAAGGACUCAGAGCGAACCUGGCACCCGACAGGCUGUAAAGCAAGCAGCCCAAGUGAGAACUAAUAGACAACCGAUGGCUGGUGUCAGUGAGCAGUCUUCAAUAAUUGUAAAGUAGAUGGGCUGUUACCUCACGAGGAGGACCACUCACAAAGGAAAGACCCAGGGCUCCAUCCUCUCUUCUGCCCCUGAUUCAGAGGUCUGUGAAUUCCCCUGCGCAGCUGGCCUUGUUGUUGUAUGGUGUCCAAACAGCUUACAAUGUUCUUUUAUUGAAGUGGAGUUGAUAUACAAUAUAUUAUUUGUUCCAGGUGUACAACAUAGUUAUUUGACAUUUAUGUACAUUACAAAAUGAUACGUGCAAAAAACAUGAUUGACAUUUAUAUACAUUGCAAAACUGGUCACCAUGAUAGGUAUAGUUACCAUCUACCACCACACAAAGUUACUACUUCCAAAGUUAUUACUUACAAUAUUAUUGACUAUACUCCCCCUGCCCUGCUUUCACCAUAAGUUAUAUAUUUCAUAACUAGAAGUUUGUCCCUCUUUAUCCCCUUCAUCUAUUUUGCCCAGCUCCCCAUCCGCAUCCCCCAUGGCAACCGCCAGACUGUUCUGUUUAUGUGUCUAUUUCUGUUUCAUUUAUUUGUUCAUUUGUUUUGCUCUUUAGAUUCUAUACAUACAUGAAAUC